rnacentral:tRNA from 1 species
AAUGAUGAGCCUGACUAAAGGACUAUCGUGAUAGGAUAAAAUAUGUAGUAAUAAAACUACCUUCAUUACAUCU